CGCUUGGCGAUGUCGUCCACGGUGACUCCCGAUCCCGCCUUGAGCCCGCGCGGAUCGACGAUGCAUUCGUGCGCAACGCGGCCGUUGUGGUUGCGAUAGAGCACCGGGAAAUGCGGAUCGAGCCUCCUGGCGAUGUAGUUCGCGUUCAGGAUUGCGACUUCCGUCGCCCGGGUCAGGCCUUCGCCGCCCAUCAUCAGGAUGUAGAUGUAGGAGAUGACGAGGAUCGAUGCCGACCCGUAGGGCGCCGCCGACACCGGACCGACCGGGGCCUUGCCGCCGUCGGUUGCGACAUGUCCGGGCAGGAACGGCGCGAGAUGCGCGCGCACGCCGAUCGGGCCCAUGCCCGGUCCGCCGCCCCCAUGCGGAAUGCAGAAGGUCUUGUGCAGAUUGAGAUGGCUGACAUCCGCGCCGUAGUCGCCGGGGCGGGCGAGCCCGACCUGCGCAUUGAGAUUGGCGCCGUCGAGAUAG
rnacentral:misc_RNA from 1 species